rnacentral:lncRNA from 1 species
GGGGUUGUAUGUUGGAGGAGGGAAUAUGUAGGAAAUCAGGGUGACAUUUAAAGCUGAGGGUGCAUAGUGUCCCCCACCAGUGUUUCAGGGAGAAAUUUGAACUCGCAUUUGCACACAAACAGCAGGAUUUUAAGAGAGCCCAGGUGAAGGCGUCACCCUCAGAAUGGAAGGGGUGGGGAGAAGGGCCGGGGUGCAGUCUCAGGGAGGAGGUACCCUUAGCUGCAGAAUCACCGUCCUGCACGUGUGUACCUCUGCAAUGUGGUCAAAUAGAACGGCUGUGGACGCGACACCACCCAUUUGCCUUUUAAGUUAGCAAGCCCAAAGUAUGCUUUAAUGUUUACUUUUUAAGAUUUUUAGAAAAGGUAGAAGACGACUCUAUUUCCUAAUAUGGACACAGUGAAAAGAUGGCCAUCUCUGAACCAGGGAGAGGAUCCUCACCAGACACCAAAUCUGAUGUCUUGAUCUUGGACUUCUUAGCCUUCAAAAUGACCCCAGAAAUGCCAAUGAUCCAGCUUCAGUGAUGCAAAUGAAGACCUCAGGGAUCAACAGAGCAAUGAGAGAAGGAACCUAGGUCCCUGAAUGACUCUGGAGCAGAGAUGCCCCAGACAUCUUACCAUGCCCCUUACCUCGAAUGGUAGAAGGUAUUCAUAGAAAUAGCUGUGGAAUGGCAGAAAAACCAUUAGGAAGAAGUUGAACUGCCUUAACUUCAAGUCUGAGGCUUUCAUUAGCUGGGUGGUCUCCAAAAACUGGACUGACCUCUUUGGCCUUCACCAUCCUCACCCAUGAUGAAGGAGAUGAGGACGCAGACACAACAGAGGAAAGACCAUGUGAUCACACAGAGAAGAUGGUAGUCUACAAGCAAUGUACAGGGACCUCAGAAGGAACCAACCCUGCUGGCACCUUGAUCUUGGACCUCUAGCCUCCAGGACUGUG